ACGGGGGGAGCAAGCGUUGUUCGGAUUUACUGGGCGUAAAGCGUGCGCAGGCGGUUCGUUGUGUCGGUGGUGAAAGCCCCGGGCUCAACCUGGGAAUGGCCAUGGAAACUGGCGAACUGGAGUGUGGCAGAGGGGGGUGGAAUUCCGCGUGUAGCAGUGAAAUGCGUAGAGAUGCGGAGGAACACCGAUGGCGAAG
rnacentral:rRNA from 1 species